GACGAACGCUGGCGGCGUGCCUAAUACAUGUAAGUAGAACGCUGAAGGGAGGAGCUUGCUCUUCUUGGAUGAGUUGCGAACGGGUGAGUAACGCGUAGGUAACCUGCCUUGUAGCGGGGGAUAACUAUUGGAAACGAUAGCUAAUACCGCAUAACAAUGGAUGACACAUGUCAUUUAUUUGAAAGGGGCAAUUGCUCCACUACAAGAUGGACUUGCGUUGUAUUAGCUAGUAGGUGAGGUAAUGGCUCACCUAGGCGACGAUACAUAGCCGACCUGAGAGGGUGGUCGGCCACACUGGGACUGAGACACGGCCCAGACUCCUUCGGGAGGCAGCAGUAGGGAAUCUUCGGCAAUGGGGGCAACCCUGACCGAGCAACGCCGCGUGAGUGUAGAAGGUUUUCGGAUCGUAAAGCUCUGUUGUAAGUCAAGAACGGGUGUUAGAGUGGAAAGUUCACACUGUGACGGUAGCUUACCAGAAAGGGACGGCUAACUACGUG
rnacentral:rRNA from 1 species